rnacentral:rRNA from 1 species
UAUGUCUGUGAGCGGCACACUGCUCAGUAACGCGUAGCUAACCUACCCUUAGGACGUGGACAACCCCGAGAAAUUGGGGCUAAUCCGCGAUAGAUGUAUUGUCCUGGAAUGGUAUUACGUCUAAAGGUAUCCCAUACAUGUUUGGUAUAUGCCUAAGGAUGGGGCUGCGGCCGAUCAGGCUGUUGGUGAGGUAAUGGCUCACCAAACCUUUGACCGGUACGGGCCAUGAGAGUGGUAGCCCGGAGAUGGACACUGAGACAAGGGUCCAGGCCCUACGGGGCGCAGCAGGCGCGAAACCUCCUCAAUGCACUUACGUGCGGAGGGGCUACCUCGAGUGCCAUCUGAUGAAGGUGGCUUUUCCUAGGUCUAAAAAGCCUUGGGAAUAAGAGGGGGGCAAGACUGGUGUCAGCCGCCGCGGUAACACCAGCCCCUCGAGUGGUGGGGAUGAUUAUUUGGCCUAAAGCGUCCGUAGCCUGCCGUGUAAGUUUCCCGUUAAAUCCAGCGUCUUAAGCGUUGGUCUGCGGGAAAUACUGCACGGCUAGAGAGUGGGAGAGGUCAGCGGUAUUCUGGGGGUAGGGGCGAAAUCCUUUGAUCCCCGGAGGACCACCAGUGGCGAAGGCUGCUGACUAGAACACGUCUGACGGUCAGGGACGAAAGCUGGGUAGCGAACCGGAUUAGAUACCCGGGUAGUCCCAGCCGUAAACGAUGCAUGCUAGGUGUUGGGUUGGCCACGAGCCACCCCAGUGCCGCAGGGAAGCCGUUAAGCAUGCCGCCUGGGAAGUACGAUCGCAAGGUUGAAACUUAAAGGAAUUGGCGGGGGAGCACCACCAGGCGUGAAGCCUGCGGUUUAAUUGGA